rnacentral:lncRNA from 1 species
GCCAUACCUAGAUUCAAGAAAGGCUGGGGAAAUACAGACUUUCAGUUGGGCCCAUUGUCACUCCCAAAUAAAAUCAUGGUUCUGGAACCAACAAAAAAGGGCAGAAUGGAUAUUGGUUUGGCAGCCAGUUGCCUCUGCCACAACAGGCAAUGAAGCAAAGGAACGUCAUUCUAUGAGAAAGUGAUGCUGAUGCUGAGAGAUGCAGAAUUAAGAGGAGUUAACCAGGUUGACAUGGGGAGCUGGAUCAAAUAAGAUUCCUUAAGAGGAAGCUCUUUGCAACUGUCAAGUGCCAUGCAAAUGUCCGCUAUUCCUAAGCCUGGACCCACAGCUCCGUCCUGGGAGUUCAGGGUCUUUGCAUUAUGCAUGUUGCUGGCUCAACAGGCCCAGACUCCAGCUUGUUCUUUGAUGCAGACCAGGUAUCCUACUGGGUUUUGUUUGCAUCUGCUCUUCUGCCAUUUUUCUUUGAGAAAGAAGCAAUGUUGGAACAUGACGUAAGGUAUUUAUUUAUCCAAUGGCUAUGGACUGAACGUGGAGCAGAGAAAACCAAGGUGACCAUGAAUCAAGGUUCAGUUGACACUUCGCUCGUAAAGGAAGCUGUUUGUCGGUUUAAGCCCUAUGAGUUAAUUACUGGCUUCAGUUUUCGAACCAUAGGCUGAAUUGGAGUGUCUUUAAAGACUCAGGUCAUGAAAUGAACACCCUGAACUUACAUGUGGCUUUAAUUCACCAAGCUCCUCAGCUGAAAUAAACGAUUAGCCUUGGCAAUGGG